AAGGGCACCACAAGAACGCGUGGAGCAUGUGGCUUAAUUUGACUCAACGCGAGAAAUCUUACCGGGUCCGGACACUUAUAAGAUUGACAUAAACUAUUUCGUGAUAAAUACGAUUUAAAUAUUCGUUACAUCAUGAUUAAGUGAACAGUGGUGCAUGGCCGUUCUUAGUUCGUGAAGUGAUUUGUCUGCUUAAUUGCAUUUCGUGAGUGGACCUUUCUGUUUCUAAAAGAGUAUUAGGAAUAUGUCUUUCUUGGGUCCCGAAGGCAACGAGCGUGACCAUAUUCUUUAGUUAAUAUUUUUAAAACCUUUUGUGUUUUAAGUGAAAUAACUAAAGAGACAGCUGUGAUAUUUAUUCAACCAGAGGAAGGUUGUGGUAAUAACAGGUCUGUGAUGCCCUCUAAUGUCCCGGGCUGCACACGUGCUACAAUGAUUAUUGCAGUUAGCACUAUAAUAACAGUCCCUACUGUGAAAGCUAGUAGGUAAACAUGUUAGUAAUGAUUUCGUCGCGAGCAUAUACAUGUAUCUAAACUUUUUUAGAUACUGCUCUCUUUAAUUCAAAGUGGGGACAGACCAUUGAAAUUGUUGGUCUCGGUCUUAACUAGGAAUGCCUUGUACAGGUUUUGGUUCAACAAACCACCUGGAAUACGUCCCUGUCCUUUGUACACACCGCCCGUC
rnacentral:rRNA from 2 species